rnacentral:rRNA from 1 species
GUGGGGAAUAUUGGGCAAUGGGCGAAAGCCUGACCCAGCAACGCCGCGUGAAGGAAGAAGGUUUUCGGAUCGUAAACUUCUAUCCUUGGUGAAGAUAAUGACGGUAGCCAAGAAGGAAGCCCCGGCUAACUUCGUGCCAGCAGCCGCGGUAAUACGAAGGGGGCCAGCGUUGUUCGGAAUUACUGGGCGUAAAGGGCGCGUAGGCGGCCUGGUAUGUCUGGAGUGAAAGUCCUGCUUUUAGGGUGGGAAUUGCUUUGGAGACUGCUGGGCUUGCGUGCAGGAGAGGUGAGUGGAAUGCCCGGUGUAGCGGUGAAAUGCGUAGAGAUCGGGAGGAACACCAGUGGCGAAGGCGACUUACUGGACUGUAACUGACGCUGAGGCGCGAAAGUGUGUGGAGCAAACCGGAUUAGAAACCCUGGUAGUCC